UUUCCCCCACCUCUCCCACUUGGUGCAAACAGCAGCAGCAAGCUGCAACCAUUUUAGCACAUCCUCUCACUUCACUCCUUCUAAUCCCUACCAAGAUCCAAGAUUCACCUAGAGCGUGAUUCUCUAUUGGAAAGCUUAGCUCAACUAUCCAUCCAUAGCCAUGCCUUGGAUAGAAGGAUUAGCUUCCCCACUUGCUUAUCUUUCCAUCAAUCCAAGCGGUAUUCACAUGCAUAAAGAUUUGGAAUAAUGUAUUCCUUGGAGGCCUUCACUGCUAGUAGGAAGGUAAGGAGGAGCCUCUGCAACUACAGAAAGAUCAAGGAGUCUCGAGUAGCAGCCACACAAGAAGGGAGGACCAACGCCGAGCAAAGAGAAGGAGCAAGUCGAUGCACACGUGCUUUUUUUCAUCUUUGUUGAGUUCUACCUCCGAGAACAGCACUUGCUUUCGUGAGGCUCUAAUGCUUUUCUUGUUUCCUCUUAUUCCCACUAAUUUAAGUGUGAAAAUCACAGUAAAAUAUCUAAUCUCAAACCGUGUUAGAAAGAGAUUUAGCAUUUAAUUGUUGAAUCUUGUAAAAUCCGUAGGAAAAUUAAUACAAAUGCAAAUGAGGUGAAACUAAC